CCCCGAUGGCUCAGAUGGUAAAGAAUCUGUCUGAGGUGCAGGAGACACAGGUUCGAUCCCUGGAUCGGGGA
rnacentral:tRNA from 1 species